UAAGCCAAUGGCAAAAUGUUUAGGUAAGUCGCCUCACGCAAAUACCUACAGUCAAUUUAGUUGAAUAAUCACGAGAGUUCAUUUGACCGAAGGGCAAAAUGUUCGCGACGACAAGCGUAUGUGAAACAGGAAACUACUUCUGUUGCCACGGAAACGGCAGAGUCAUUAGCCAAUCAUAGCAAAUGAAGCGUUGACCCAUCUCAUAUCACAUUGCUGG
rnacentral:lncRNA from 1 species